GCUUACGGCCAUACCACUCUGUCUGCGCCCAAUCUCGUCUGCGCCCGAUCUUGUCUGAUCUCGGAAUCUAAGCAGGGUCGGGCCUGGUUAGUAGUUGGAUGGGAGACUGCCUGGGAAUACCAGGUGCUGUAAGCU
rnacentral:rRNA from 1 species